AGGACACGUAAUGUGUUCACCAUCAAAGAAUACUGGGAAGAGAAGAGGUCUGAGGCCAUCAGCCGACUUCAAGGGAAAUAUGUUGUGCUCUUGGGUGUGUCUUUUUAUAUUUUACCUUGUUCUACAUACAUUUGUAUAGUGUUACACAAUGAGACCGAUUUUGCAAGCAUCUGUCAUACAUGUGUUGUAUUUUUAUAAUUACCUUAUUUUUCAAGGUGAUGGCAGAAAUGACUCACCAGGGCAUUCGGCACAAUACUGCAGCUGCACAACCAUGGAGCUUGAUACGAAGGAAAUUGUCUAUGUGGCCACUAUAGACAAGCGGCAGACAAACUGGAACUCCAAUAUCAUGGAAAAGGAAGGUUUCAUCCAGACUGUGGAAAAACUAACCCAUGAGAUAAAGGUAGUGGAAUUCUGCACAGAUGCCCAUGUCCAGAUUGGAGCCCUUUUGAACCCAGACAAAGGCAGAUACAAGGAGCUCAGGAUUCACCACAGCCUGGACAUAUGGCAUGGUGCCAAAAACCUGUCCAAAAAAAUUGCUACUGUAAGUUCUAAUACAUCCAAUUUCAUACAUAACACUACCCUGUACCGGCCUGCAUGUCAGUUGAAUCAUUGUAUUUUGUUAGAUCUCCAUGCAAAAAUACAUGCAUGGAAUAAUUUGCAUUGUUUGUUUUGUUUAUCCCCUCAAGGCAGGAAAGUUGAAAGGCCAGUCUAUUCUCCUUCACUGGUUGAGGGAUGUAGUCAACCAUUUCUGGUGGUCCUGCAAGACAGCAGAUACAUUUCAGCAGUUUCUUGCACUUUGGAUUGGGGUUCUCCAUCAUGUGUGCAACCAUCACACCUGGGGGACUGGAAGCUGCCAACAUGAUCACCUCGAAUACACUCAUGAAAAGCAGUGGAUUGAGAGGGAUUCCCAGAGCCACAAAGCACUAGUGAACAUUGUCCUCAACAAGCGCUGGCAGAAGGAGGCCCACAAGUAUCUGCGCUUCAGGUAAAGUGUGGGGACAUGACAAUUAAAUAGAAAUUUCAGAGCCGUUAGAAAUGUGUGGGUGUGUGUUUCUUGCUCUAAUUUAUUUUUUAUUCAUUCAGAUCAACAGCACAC